rnacentral:hammerhead_ribozyme from 1 species
AUCCAGAUGACGAAUCCCAAAUAGGACGAAAUGAGCAUCCUGGAU